rnacentral:rRNA from 1 species
AUUGAACGCUGGCGGCAGGCCUAACACAUGCAAGUCGAGCGGGGUUUUCGGACCUAGCGGCGGACGGGUGAGUAAUGCGUAGGAAGCUGCCCGAUAGAGGGGGAUACCAGUUGGAAACGACUGUUAAUACCGCAUAAUGUCUACGGACCAAAGUGUGGGACCCUCGGGCCACAUGCUAUUGGAUGCGCCUACGUGGGAUUAGCUAGUUGGUGAGGUAAUGGCUCACCAAGGCGACGAUCGCUAGAUGGUUUGAGAGGAUGAUCAGCCACACUGGAACUGAGACACGGUCCAGACUCCUACGGGAGGCAGCAGUGGGGAAUAUUGGACAAUGGGCGCAAGCCUGAUCCAGCCAUGCCGCGUGUGUGAAGAAGGCCUUCGGGUUGUAAAGCACUUUCAGCGAGGAGGAAGGGUGGUGUGUUAAUAGCACAUCAUUUUGACGUUACUCGCAGAAGAAGCACCGGCUAACUCUGUGCCAGCAGCCGCCGUAACAC